rnacentral:lncRNA from 10 species
GUCGUGAUGGAAGAGUUUCGUUUCCUCAUUGUAUCAAUGGCAUUAUCUUAGUCGUGAUAUUAUAGUGUAGUUUUUUAGAUGUUACCAUUGGGAGAAACUGAGUAAAGAAGAUGUGGGAUCUUUCUUUAGUAUUUCUUAGAACUGCAUGUGAAUCUACAACUAGCUCAAAAUAAAAAGUUUAAUUAUAAAAUAAAAGCUACAUGAAAUGAAGCAAAAAAUAAUUCACCCUUGUCACGCACACAGAGUCAGAGACUGUAACAUAAUUUGCAGGAUCUAGAGCAGAAUACAAAUGUAAAACAUCUUGUUAAAAAAUUAUUAAUAAUUUUGAGACAUUGAUAAAGCAUUAAGCCGCCUGUGGGGCCCUUUAAGCAUGAUAAACUGUGCUACCACACAGAUUGCACAUUCACGUAUCUGGCCCUGCAAAUGGAAUGAUUUUUGCCCAUGAUCAAUUCACCAUGGCCUCUUUGGGCUCAGUGAAUUUGCUUCUUCAGGAGGGUAAUUUUCUCUUCUUUCUCUGCUAAGCUGUUUAACAGUAGUUGCCCUGCCUAAUGGGCUUCAUCCAUCCAUUUCUCUCAGAUUAUUUUCAUGAUGCACUAGGAUGAAGCACACCCUUUCUCCUAGUCUUGAGGAAACGUCGAUAUUCAGAAUAUUUAAACGCAGGCACUGACCAAUCAGAAGAGUUUCUGGCCAACGUUCCACACUUGAGGGAAAUGACAUUAUCUGAGCCCUGAAGAAAAACGUUGUAGAUAUUCUCCAGAUCAAAGCAUCGACAGGAAGAUUUUAGAUGUUGAAGUUCGUAAUAUUUCCUAAAGCAGGUUGUCUGCAUUCAAAAGAGCAUUCUAUUAAAGCUACCUUAAUU